CAGAGAGUAGUUUAAUAAAAAUAUUAGUUUUGGGGACUAGUGAUAGGAGGUCACUCUUUUCUCUGA
rnacentral:tRNA from 1 species